AGGCGCCACAGCCCCCGGGGAGAGGAGAGGGCGGCCGGAAGGUCUGCUCGGCAGAGCGCCCCCUGGCGCCCGGAGAGUGCUGCGCUCCGCGGCCCCGGCGCUGCGGGGCUCAGCCGGGGCAGGGCGCCCCGGGCCUCGGUGGGCGCAGGCCGAGCGGCGGGUCCCGCAGCACGGCUUACCGCCGGGGAGGAUAGCGCCAGCCGGCCCGGCAGUGCCUGUGUGUGGAGCUGACCUCGAGUGGCAGCAUUCAGAGACAGGCAAAAAGCUGCUUGGAUAAGAAUCUGCCCAGGUUGUGCUGAGGCGGUGGAGGAUGGGGGGGAAGGGGAGGAAGAAGGAGCUCAGCAUCCCGGAGGAGGCGAGUGAAGGGCAAAAUGGAAGAGGGAUGAAUGGCGCCACUGCCCUCAACUCCACCUUCUCCCGCCUACUGCCGGCUGCUGCCAGGCAGCCUCCCCCAGCAUCCCCCUCGCCCUCAGUCAGCCAAAGGGCAGCCACAGCGGAAGCAUUUUAAAAGCAAACCAAGUAUCACGUGGUGAAGGUAAAUAAACAGCACGCUGAAAAAUCA